rnacentral:ncRNA from 1 species
AGUGGGAACACACGACCGCAAAUCUGACUCGCCGUCCGAUUGGGCGGCUCCGGGAUUGCGGACGUGU